rnacentral:tRNA from 3 species
GCGGAAGUAGUUCAGUGGUAGAACAUCACCUUGCCAUGGUGGGGGGUCGCGGGUUCGAAUCCCGUCUUCCGCU